rnacentral:rRNA from 1 species
GGACUACAAGGGUAUCUAAUCCUGUUUGAUCCCCACGCUUUCGUAUCUCAGCGUCAAUAUUGGGCCAGAUAGCCGCCUUCGCCACCGGUAUUCCUCCUGAUAUCUACGUAUUUCACCACUACACCAGGAAUUCUACUAUCCUCUCCCAUAUUCAAGCUCAGCAGUAUCAAGUGCACUUCCAAGGUUGAGCCCUGGGCUUUCACACCUGACUUACCAAGCCGCCUACAUACGCUUUACGCCCAAUGAUUCCGAACAACGCUAGGACCCCUCGUCUUACCGCGGCGGCUGGCAC